rnacentral:lncRNA from 1 species
AAGCACAGAGAGAUUAAAAGAGAGAAAGCGCUGCUGCAAUCUCUAGAAUUUCCCUCCUCUAGCUUAAGUGUUAGAAUUCUGUUUAAGAGAGGAGAGUGAGUACUUGUAAGGGUUGUCUCCUAAACUCGGUAAAAGGAGAAGAGGGGUGUAAGAAGGAGGUUGAUCUUCGCCUAGUAAUGGAAGAUCGUUAGUGGAUGCCGGUGGCCUCGACGGAAGAGGAAUCGGAGGAGUGGAUAUAGGUCACGANNNNNNNNNNNNNNNNNNNNGUCUCCUAAACUCGGUAAAAGGAGAAGAGGGGUGUAAGAAGGAGGUUGAUCUUCGCCUAGUAAUGGAAGAUCGUUAGUGGAUGCCGGUGGCCUCGACGGAAGAGGAAUCGGAGGAGUGGAUAUAGGUCACGAUUGACCGAACCACUAUAAACUCUCGUCUUCUCUGGUUUGCAUUUAUUCUUACUGCUUACCUUACUGCAAACCUCCAUAUGUGCUUUACUUCCUCAUUACUUUUGCUG